ACUUACCUUUUGUUGCCU
rnacentral:rRNA from 1 species